CGGAACGUGGUGGGCUCCGUGCCAGAUGCGCGUUUACACUGCACCGUUCUAAAGAAUUCUGUAAAUGCACUAUCUGGUACGACAGCCCACUACGUGCACUCGU
rnacentral:pre_miRNA from 15 species